UGUAUCUCUGGGAGGAUGACACUGAAUUCUACAAAACCUGUGAUGUUGAAGAUGAGAUGGAGACCACUGACACACAGCUAGCGCUCCUCUCUGCGGUCCCUGACUCCACUGGUUCCAUCAGUUUCAGCCCUGAGAACAUAUCCAUUGUGAUAGAGGAUGAAGUUGUUAUGAGCGAGCUUCCCAGGUUGGCUGAUGCAUUUGUGGUGCUGUUUGGUUUAAUCUAUGCAUUACACUUAGAUUAUCCAAAGAAACUCACUCACACUUUCACAUUCAUCCAGAAAGUGUUGAUGUGUCUGGAUGAUAACAAACCAUCGAAACCAUGCCUACUCUCCCUGAAAAAUGAUUUGUUAAAAGAAUAAACAAGGUGAGAAAUGCCUGCCGAGUGCAGGCAUGCAUAAAUGUGAUUCAUGUCAGCAACAUUAUUACAGCUAUGUUGUUCUGUUGUUCAUUCUUAGAUGUGUCUGAUAUUAUAGACAUGUCUGUUAAAAUGUUGAAAGCACUUUUGCACUUUUUUGAGGCCGUAACAGUAUGCUCAGUGGGCUUUUUAUAAGUUUAGAAUGAGAGGUACAUUUUUUGUUUAUUUUAUUGUACUGCCUCCUUGACCUCAUUGAUCAGUAUGCCCUCAUUGUUAAUGGCAAUUCAGUUAUUUAUUUAUAUUAUAUAUUAUAUAUUAUAUAUAUUAUAUAAUAUUAUAUAUAUAUAUAUUUAUUUGGUAUGUUUUUAAUUUUCCUCAUUUGCACUUUUUUUAAUUUGAGAAAAUACAGUGCAGAGAAGGAAAAGUUUGUUCAUCCUCAAUGAUUCAAAAUAGGCUGCUAAAAUUUAUAUUUGUAAAAAAAAUGUUUGACUCCAGGUGUUGCACUUGAAUGUUAUUCGACAUUUCAGUUUUACUAAGCCUAAUAUAUUGUUCUGAAAAAAAAAAGAAAUGUAAAAGUUGGUUAUUCCUUUUUAAAAGGUAUGUUUUAAGGUGCUGUUUUAUACCCUAAUAAAUAAUUGGAAUUCUGACAGGAA